CGGCGGACGGGUGAGUAACACGUGGAUAACCUACCUAUAAGACUGGGAUAACUUCGGGAAACCGGAGCUAAUACCGGAUAAUAUAUUGAACCGCAUGGUUCAAUGGUGAAAGACGGUUUUGCUGCCACUUAUAGAUGGAUCCGCGCCGCAUUAGCUAGUUGGUAAGGUAACGGCUUACCAAGGCAACGAUGCGUAGCCGACCUGAGAGGGUGACCGGCCACACUGGAACUGAGACACGGUCCAGACUCCUACGGGAGGCAGCAGCG
rnacentral:rRNA from 1 species